rnacentral:rRNA from 1 species
GGAAGUUUGAUCCGGGAUCACAACGAACCCUGGACGCGCGUGCCUAAUUCAUGCGAUUCCAACGUGGUGUUCCCUCUCCUGCGUCCCUAGUGGCGCACUGUUGAGUAACGACUGGGAACCUGCCCUGUGGCGCGGAACAUCUUCAGCAAACUGUAGCUAAUACCGAAUGUGUCCUGCUGCUCCUACAUUUCAUCGACUUGGGAUGGGCCCGCCUAAGAGUAAAUUGUUGUCUGGGAAACGGCUCACCUCGGCGUCUAUCCUUCCCUGGUCUGAUACGAUGGCCAGCCUCACUGGGACUGAGACACGGGCCAAACUCCAACUGGAGGCAUCCCCUACGAAUAUCGGAUUAUGGGCGCAAGUCUGAUUCAACCGUGCCGCGUGAGUGAUGAAAGCCUUCGGGUUGGAUAGCUCUUAGCCGACGAAUAUAAUGACUGUACUCGGAGAAUAAGCCCCGGCUAACUUCGUGCCCUCUGCCGCUGUAAUACGAAGGGGGCGAGCGUUACUCGGAAUCACUGGGAGUAAAGCGUGACUAGGCUGUUUUGUAACUUUUACUUGAAAAAAAGAAAAACAACCCCGCACCUGCUUUUGACACUGGUACGCUGGAGUUCUGGAGACGGUAGUGGAAUUCCCCGUGUAGAGGUGAAAUUCUGAGAUAUUGGGAACAACAACAGUGGCAAACGCCCCUUUUCUGGUCUGUAACUGAUGCUGAGGGGCGACAACGUGGGGAGCAAACGGAUUAGAUACCCGGGUAUCCCCCCCGUAAACAAUAAUAGCAAAUGUAAGGGCGUUCCCCCCCUUUAUUGCUCCACCUUACCCAUUAAUCCCCCCCCCGGGGAAAAUGGCCCCUCCGCCUAAACUCCAAAAAAUCCCCGGGGCCCCCACAUCCGGGGAGAAGGGGGUUAU